ensembl:lncRNA
CUGAAGAAAAAUACCCCCAAGCACAAACUAAUGGACCAGUCUCUGACCUCCUCCUUCAGCUCAGAGAAUGAGUCCCAGGGGGGACGCCCUGCAGGGUGCCACCUGGGCCAUGGGGGCCAGAGGGGUCACGGGGGUCAUCGCCCCCAGCCCAGGUCAAGAUCCAGGUCUCCCUUGCGAUUGGCCAGCCAAAGCCCCUCCCCUUCCGCCUCCAAGAGAUGGAGCCCAAAGCCCGCCCACAUGCGGCGAAACAUCAGGAAGCUGCUCAGGGACCACCAGCUGGAGGCAGGUACCAAGGUGGCCCAGCAGGAGGAGCUAGAGAGGAAACAUCGCCUG